CAGCGUGGAGCUGAAGCAGGGAAGGCCACGCUCAUGUGCCUGGCCAACAAGGGCUUCCCCUCAGACUGGAGUCUGGCCUGGAAGGUGGACGGCAGCAGCAGCAGCAGCAGCAGCAGCUGGGAGGAGAGCAGCAGCCCCGGGGUGCUGGAGAAGGACGGCAGCUACAGCUGGAGCAGCACCCUGAGGCUCCCUGCAGACCAGUGGAAGAAGGUGGGCUCAGUGACCUGUGAGGCCACCCAGGGCUCUCAGACUCUGGUCUCAGAGACACUGACGAGAGACCAGUGUUCCCUGUUCUGACCUGACUCACUUGGACCCUGCUACUGGUUUUACUCUGCAACUGCUCUCUCUCUGAAAC